UCAUUGGGCCAAUACCUACAUAAAAUAAAAAACCUAAUUGUUAUUUCCUUUCUUCUUCGCCUUCUCACAAUCAGUUCACAUACCUGUCUUUAGUUGCCGGCCGGAGAAAAAUCAGUACCCGAUAGCUGCUGAAAAAAAGGUUUUAUUCUUAUAUGUUCACUUUUCUCUACACUCUUCCAUUCUCACUUUAAUUUCAUGGGACAUUACUGCCUAGUGGAAUGGAUAUGAUCA
rnacentral:lncRNA from 1 species